GACGUAGGGCGCGAGCGUUGUCCGGAUUUAUUGGGCGUAAAGAGCUCGUAGGCGGCUUGUUGCGUCGACUGUGAAAACCCGCGGCUUAACUGCGGGCUUGCAGUUGAUACGGGCAGGCUAGAGUUCGGUAGGGGAGACUGGAAUUCCUGGUGUAGCGGUGAAAUGCGCAGAUAUCAGGAGGAACACCGGUGGCGAAGGCGGGUCUCUGGGCCGAUACUGACGCUGAGAAGCGAAAGCAUGGGGAGCGAACAGG
rnacentral:rRNA from 1 species